UAGACACAGCACUUCAGCCCGGGCAAC
rnacentral:piRNA from 1 species